GACGAACGCUGGCGGCGUGCUUAACACAUGCAAGUCGAACGGAAAGGCCCCUUUGGGGGUACUCGCGUGGCGAACGGGUGAGUAACACGUGAGUAACUUGCCCUUGACUUCGGGAUAACUUCAGGCAACUGGGGCUAAUACCGGAUAGGAAUCCUUGCUGCAUGGUGGGGGUUGGUAAGCUUCGGCGGUUUUGGAUGGACUCGCGGCUUAUCAGCUUGUUGGUGGGGUAGUGGCUUACCAAGGCUUUGACGGGUAGCCGGCCUGAGGGGGCGACCGGCCAAAUUUGGGAUGGGGAACGGCCCAGACGCCUACGGGGGGCAGCAGUGGGGAAUAUUGCAAAAUGGGGGGAAGCCUGAAGCAGGAACGCCGCGUGCGGGAUGACGGCCUUCGGGUUGGAAACCGCUUUCAGCAGGGGCGAAGCUUGUGGUGACGGUACCUGGAGAAGAAGCACCGGCUAACUACGUG
rnacentral:rRNA from 1 species